GGGCCGUUAGCUCAGCGGUAGAGCACCUCAUUUGCAAUGAGGGGGUCGCCGGUUCAAAUCCGGCACGGUCCA
rnacentral:tRNA from 2 species